CCAAUAGCGUAUAUUAAAGUUGUUGCAGUUAAAAAGCUCGUAGUUGAAUUUCGGGAUCAAUUUAUUGGUCGUGCUAUUGUACGUACUGGUAUUAUUGAUUCCUACCUUCUGACGAACCAUGAUGUCAUUAAUUUGGUGUUAUGGGGAAUCAGGACUGUUACUUUGAAAAAAUUAGAGUGUUUAAAGCAGGCUCACGCUUGAAUACAUUAGCAUGGAAUAACGAAAUAGGACGUUUGAUUCUAUUUUGUUGGUUUCUAGGAUCGACGUAAUGAUUAAUAGGGAUAGUUGGGGGCAUUAGUAUUCAAUUGUCAGAGGUGAAAUUCUUGGAUUUAUUGAAGACUAACUACUGCGAAAGCAUUUGCCAAGGAUGUUUUCAUUAAUCAAGAACGAAAGUUAGGGGAUCGAAGACGAUCAGAUACCGUCGUAGUCUUAACCAUAAACUAUGCCGACUAGGGAUCGGAUGAUGUUAAUUUUUUAAUGACUCAUUCGGCGCCUUACG
rnacentral:rRNA from 1 species